rnacentral:rRNA from 1 species
CACUUCUAAGGAAGGCAGCAGGCGCGCAAAUUACCCAAUCCUGACUCAGGGAGGUAGUGACAAGAAAUAACAAUAAACCGGCUUAUGCCGGUUUAAUUGGAAUGAGUACAAUUUAAACAUCUUAACGAGGAACAAUUGGAGGGCAAGUCUGGUGCCAGCAGCCGCGGUAAUUCCAGCUCCAAUAGCGUAUACUAAAGUUGUUGCAGUUAAAAAGCUCGUAGUUGGAUUUCUGUGGGGACGGAGCGGCCGGCCGCAACACGCGGUUCGAGCUAGCGCUUUCCCUACAUCCUGCCGCGAACCGUGCUACCAUUAGUUUGGUGGCGCCGGGGAUCGGCUCGAUUACUUUGAGAAAAAUAGAGUGUUCAAAGCAGGCCACACGCCUUGAAUAAGUUAGCAUGGAAUAAUAACUAAGGACUUCGGUUCUAUUUUGUUGGUGUUCGGGACCGAAGUAAUGAUUGAUAGGGACAGUUGGGGCGGUCUGUAUUCCAAAGCGAGAGGUGAAAUUCUUAGACCUUCGGAAGACAAACAGCUGCGAAAGCGUUCCGCAAGGAUGUUCCCUUUGAUCAAGAACGAAAGUUGGGGGAUCGAAGACGAUCAGAUACCGUCGUAGUCUCAACUAUAAACUAUACCAGCUAGGGAUCGGCCAACGUUAUUCUAUACCGACUUGGUCGGCACCUUAUGAGAAAUCAAAGCAUCUGGGUUCCGGGGGGAGUAUGGUCGCAAGGCUGAAACUUAAAGGAAUUGACGGAAGGGCACCACCAGCCGUGGAGCCUGUGGCUUAAUUUGACUCAACACGGGAAAACUUACCAGGUCCAGACAUAGUAAGGAUUGACAGAUUGAUAGCUCUUUCUUGAUUCUGUGGGUGGUGGUGCAUGGCCGUUCUUAGUUGGUGGAGUGAUUUGUCUGGUUAAUUCCGUUAACGAACGAGACCCCAGCCUGCUAAAUAGCGCGCGUGAGCUUUGCUCGCGGCGAGCUUCUUAGAGGGACUAUGAUGCGCGAUAGCACAUGGAAGUUUGGGGCAAUAACAGGUCUGUGACGCCCUUAGAUGUUCUGGGCCGCACACGGGCUACACUGGCGCCUGCAUCGAGCAUAUCAGCUGGCCCGAGAGGGUCUUGGCUAAUCUUUUGAACCGGCGCCGUGCUUGGGAUUGACCUUUGCAAUUGUUGGUCAUGCAACGAGGAAUGCCUUGUAAACGCGAGUCAUCAGCUCGCAUUGAAUACGUCCCUGCCCUUUGUACACACCGCCCGUCGCUCCUACCGAUGAAUGUUCCGAUGAAAUUUUCGGAGAGUGCCUGUGAACUUGGCUCUGCCUUGCGAACGGGAAGCUCAAAGUCACUUAAAUCUGAACAUUUCGAGG